AUUGAACGCUGGCGGCAGGCCUAACACAUGCAAGUCGAGCGGAGCGGCGGAAGGGGGAGCACUGCCUAGGAAUCUGCAUGGUAGUGGGGGCCAACGCCCGGAAACGGGCGCUAAUACAGCACACUAUAAGAUGACCUUAGGUCGGCUUAGCUAGUUGGUGGGGUAAAGGCUUACCAAGGCGACGAUCCCUAACUUGUCUGAGAGGAUGAUCAGUCACACUGGAACUGAGACACGGACCAGACUCCUACGGGAGGCAGCAGUAGGGAAUAUUGGACAAUGGCCGAAAGCCUGAUCCAGCCAUGCCGCGUGAGUGAAGAAGGUCUUCGGAUUGUAAAGCACUUUGGGUUGGGAAGCGUUACCAACAGAGUAAGCACCGGCUAACUUCGUGCCAGCAGCCGCGGUAAUUC
rnacentral:rRNA from 1 species